rnacentral:rRNA from 1 species
AAAAACAUAGCCUACUAUUUAACUUAGGUACAACCCUGCCCUCUGACUUUUAACAGCCGCGGUAUCCUAACCGUGCUAAGGUAGCAUAAUCACUUGCCUAUUAAUUAUAGGCUAGAAUGAACGGGAUCACUCACUUAAACUUAUUUUUAUUUAAAUUUAAAUUAAACUUUAAGUCAAAAUACUAAAUUAAAAAGAAAGACAAAAAGACCCUGAAAACUAUUAGAAAUAAUUAGUUGGGGCAACUAUAGACCACUCUAGCGUCUAUUUUUUUUAAACUCUUAAAAUCUAAAGUAUCCAGUUACUUCAGGGAUAACAGACUAAUUUUAUUAUUUAGACCCAAUAAAUAAUAAAGAUUGGCACCUCGAUGUUGGCUUAUAUUUCCUUCAUAUAGCAACAUAUAUAGAAGGCAGCUUGUUCAUCUGUUAAAUAUUUACAUGAGCUGAGUUCA